UGGCUGAAUUUUGAAUGUACACAGCCAUGAUAAUGAAGGCAGGGAGAUCUUUGUACAUGGAGGAUGAUAGAAAUGAUCUCUGUCUUUUUUCUCUUUGUUUUUUUUUUCCAUGAAAGGGAGCAGGGUUUGUGGAUUCUUUUUUGUGGUCACAAAUAGGAUAUGAAUAUGAUGUGAAAAAUGAUUGAGGAGACAUGAAAAUGUUUCUCAGAGAUUGGAUUCAAAAUG
rnacentral:lncRNA from 1 species